rnacentral:ncRNA from 2 species
CGGAAUAUUUAUGGAAUAAGUGGUCCUUCUUGGAAGGACAUAAUAGGGAAGCCGGUGCAAAUCCGGCGCGGUCCCGCCACUGUAAGAGGAAAUCACUUUGCAACAUGCCACUGGGUUUAACCUGGGAAGGCGUAAAGUGGUGAUGAUCUCGAGCCAGGAAACCUGCUUAUUCUGAACUCGCCGU